rnacentral:tRNA from 1 species
CGACCCGUGGUGGAAUGGCAGACAACCCGGAAGGAGAGUCCGGGGCUCGUCAAGAGCGUGAGGGUUCGAGUCCCUCCGGGUCGACCA